rfam:Myotis davidii contig213747, whole genome shotgun sequence.
GUCAGGAUGGCCGAGUGGUCUAAGGCGCCAGACUCAAGGGACUCCCUUACCUACGGGUGUUCUGGUCUCCGCAUGGAGGCGUGGGUUCGAAUCCCACUUCUGACA